GCCUGUGCCUUACACGCUGGAGUUUCCAGGGUUCUGGAUUCCCUGAGGAUGGUUGGCUCAAUUAUUAUGUAUCUUGUGUGUAAGUCACUGUGAUGCCCAGCUUUCCCAAGGGGGUCUGGACAUCACAAAGGCCCCUAACAGUUAACACAUCCAAACAUGAACUUCUGAUUUUCUCCUGCCCAGCUCCCCGCUGACUUCCCCAAGUCACUGUUUCCUGUGUUCUGUGGCACGGUGAGAAAGCCUGGAAUCUGGGAGUCGUCCUCUACUUCUCCUCCUCGGUUCCUUCCCUAUCAAAGACCAAGUCUUCAUCGGCUCCAACUCCCUUUCGCCAUCUUUCACCCAAACUAUCGUAAACAUGCCCUAAUGUUCUUCAGCUCGUUCUCCACCCUGCCACCGCUUACGUUCGUAAUGUGCGAUCAAACGACGUUCCUCUCCUGUCUAAUAUCCUUCAGUUGCUCCCCAUCACUCACAGAUUACUCUUGACAUACUCAUUUUGGUCCUUCGUGAUCUAGCCCCUGCCUUUCUCUGCAGACAUCCCCACUCACAUACUUACGAGUCCUAGACUGAAGCGUGCUAUUUAAUGCCCAUUUGCUUUGCCUGUAACUCUUCUAGCCUAAGCAGCAAAUUUCUCCUAGUCCUUCCUGGGCUUGCUCAAAUAUUAUCUCCUCUGGGAGGUUUUGUCCUUAUGCACUCAGGAAGUGAGCUGCUUCUUGUUUGUGAAAUUUAUAUCGCACGCGGGACCGUGAGAUCCUCAAGGGCAGGGACCACAUCUUAUUCGCCUCUGCAUUCCUGCCACCUACCCUUGCUCCUGGUACGUAGUGCACUAUUGGAUAAAGAGUCUUGACGUCUUGUCUUCUUUCCCAUUAGAAACCCAGGUUUCACUCUUAAAAUGAGAUUUGUACCUCCCCUUUACUCAUGUACUGGCCUUCUCAAGGAUUCUGAAGACAGCAAUUCACAGAUUCUGCAGUGAUAUCAGAUACUCAGAUUCUUCUGAAAGGAUCAAACUGCUUUGCUUCUGUUAAAACAGAAAUCUAGUUUGCUCAGAGUGCAAAGUGGACAAGCUUCAUCGUGUGUCAUGGAUUUUCUCUUUGCAUGGAAUAAAGGAGAGGGGAAGGAAACUACCAUUUGUUCAAAAGCCUCUGCUAGGUACAGGACUAGGCUCUCAUUUCCUGGAUAGGCAGGAGCAGAGACAUCACUGUCAAGAAGUCCUCGUCCUAGCUCUCCCGCUAACUAAUGUGUGGCUCCCUGGAGCAAGUGGUCGUCUCAGAUCCUUAUUCUCCUCAUUUAAAAAUAAAAGGGUCAGACCAAAUUGUCCCCAGAGGUUGCCAAGCUCUAAGGUUUCGUUAGAAAAAAAAUCACUGGGUAGAUUUGCCCUGAGCCAGCACCUGUGCUAGGCAUUAGGGAUGCCAAUAAGAUGCAGUCCUUAGCCUGUCGUAUUCAGUGUGGAAGAAUAAUUCUGUUAUUCUGACUCUGCACAGGCUGUUGCGACUACUUAAAAUCAAUCACUGAUUGGACCUAUAUAAACAAAGUAUGUUCAGUUAAGAAAGAAAAACCUACUGGGGCGCCUGGGUGGCUCAGUCAGUGAAGCUUCCAACUUCAGCGCAGGUCAUGGUCUCACGGCUCAUGAGUUCAAGCCCCGCGUCGGGGUCUGUGCUGACAGCUCGGAGCCUGGAGCCUGCUUCGGAUUCUGUGUCUCCCUCUCUCUGCCCCUCCCCUGCUCAUGCUCUGUCUCUCUCUCUGUCUCAAAAAUAAAUAAAAACAUUUAAAUAAAUAAAUAAAUAAAUAAAUAAAUAAAUAAAAUAAAACUUUAAAAAAAAAAAAAAAGAAAGAAAGAAAAACCUACUGAAACGAUCGUGUGUAAAAUUUCCUGCAAGGCCUAAUUCAGGUUAGAUGAAUAAAUUAUGGUUCGUGCCUCAAAAGAGGCUCUAACCCAGAGAAGACCCACUGUGCAUGCAGCCGAUAAAAUAAAUUUUAUAAUCAAGAUUGUUACUCCUGCAGGAAUAGUUUUUCAGGAAACCACUGCUAGACCAACUCAGAUUAUCUGAAGGGUUUUAUGUUACUUACCAUGAAGUUAGAGGUAGACAAAUACCGAUGCUAAAUACAUGUCCUGAACAAAGAUGGGCUUCAUUCAUAGCAGAAUUUCACAGGGGUUUUGAUAAAGUGCUCUGGAUACUUCUGUUAUGUGACAUGUUCUUUUACCUGAGGCGGCCAGUCCCUAAAGAGGCAUUCACAUCUCUCGAGGAUAUGUGUUUCAUCCGUUUUGUAUUCUUGCAGAGUCUAGCCAGUUUCUUUUACCUUGUGCAAAAUAAAUCACAGGCUGAUGCUGCACCGUGCUGGAACUGUCUGCCUACUUUCAGACCACCAUAAAGAGUGUUUUCUCUCCUUGUGUCUUUUUUUUUCAUCUUAACAAAUCAGUUGUGUUUUUCUUCCCCAGCAUUGUUGAGGCAUAUUUGACAAAUAAAAUUAUAGAAUAUAUAAAGUGCACAACAUGCUGAUUUGAUAUACACACACAUUUUCAAAGGAAGAGUUGAAUGGUUGUGGGUAUGAUAUUUGAAAUUGUAUCCAGGAUUUCUAAGAGGUCUUCAAUGAUGAUACUUUUGUAGAUAGGAUUGAGAACCAAUGAGCAAGUGGCUGGAGAGCAAAGGAAAUGGAGAUCACUUUACGUUGGUAAUUUCAAAGGCAGAUAAAUAAAAUUAUCGUUAAAUGAAUCUAACAAAAACUAUGUCUUUAAAAAAUAGACUUUUUAAAAGAGCCAUUUUAGAGUCACAGAAAAAAUGGAAGACAGAGUACAGAGAGUUCCUGUAUACCCCUGUACCUGCACAUACUCAGCCUCUUCCAUGAUCACCAUCCCACACAGAGUGUGGGACCUACACAUCAUCAUCACCCCAAGUCCAUAAUUUGCACUAGGGUUCACUCUUGGUCUUACACAUUCUGUGGGUUUUGACAAAUGUAUAAUGAUUUGUAUCCACCAUUAUAGUACCACACGAAAUAUUUUCACAGCCUGAAAAUCCCUUAUGCUCUGACUGUUCAGCCCUCCCUCCUAACUCCUAGCAACCACUCAUCUUUUUCAUGUACCCAUAGUUUUGUCUUUUCCAGAUUGUCAUAUAGUUGGAAUCACACAGUACGUAGACUUCACAGAUUGGCUUCUUUCGCUUAGUAGUAUGCAUUUAAGGUCCCUCCAUGUCUUUUCAUGGAUUGAUGGCUCAGUUUCUUUUAACACUGAAUAAUAUUCCAUUGUCUGGAUAUAUCACAGUUGAUUUAUCCGUUCACCUACUGAAGGACUUCUUGGUUGCUUCCAGGUUUUUGCAGUUAUGAAUAAGUCUGCUAUAAACAUUCCUGUGCAGGUUUUUAUAUGUACAUAAGUUUUCAACUCAUUUGGGUAAAAUACCAGAGUGUGAUUGCUCAGUCCUAUGGUAUGGGUUUGUUUGGCAGUAAGAAACUGUCAGACUGUCUUCCAAAGUGCUGUACCAUUUUGCAUCCCCAACCGCAGUGAGUGAGCAUUCCUGUUGCUUCACAUUCUUGUCAGCAUUUUGUGUGGUCAAUGUUUUAUAAUUUUGUCAUUCUAAUAAGUGUAUGGUGUUAUCUCAUGGUUAUUUUAAUUUGCAAUUCUCUAAUGAUGCAUGAUGUUAAGCAUCUUUUUAUGUGCUAAUUUGCCAUCAGUGUGUCUUGUUUGGAGAAGUGUCUGUUCAGACUGUUUGCCUAUUUUUUAAUUGGGUUGAUUGUUUUCUUAUUAAAGUUUUAAGAGUUCUUUGUAUAUUUUAGACAAUAGUCCUUUAUCAGAUAUGUUUUUUGCAGAUGUUUUCUCCAAGUCUAUAACUUGUCUUCUCAUACACUCAACAAUGUCUUUCUCAGAAGUUUUUAAUUGUAAUGAAGUCCAGUUUAUCAGUUAUUUAUUUUAUAGAUCAUGUCUUUGGUGUUGUAUCUAAAAAGUUAUCACCAAACCUCAAGUCAUUUAGAUUUCCUUCUAUGUUAUCUUCCAGGGAUCUUAUAAUUUUGUGUUUACAUUUAAGUCUGUGAUUCAUUUUGAGUUAAUUUUUGUGAUGGGUAGAAGGUCUGUGUCUAGAUGGAUUUGUGUUGUGUGUGUGUGUGUGUGUGUGUGUGUGUUCAGUUGUUGCAAAAAAAUUGUUGAAAGGCUAUCAGUAGAAGGUCUGUGUCUAGAUGGAUUUGUGUUUGUGUGUGUGUGUGUUGUGUGUGUGUGUGUGUGUGUUCAGUUGUUGCAACAAAAUUUGUUGAAAGGCUAUCAGUUCUCUAUUAUAUUACUUUUGUUCCUUUGUCACAGAUCAGUUGACCAUACUUCUGUUGGUCUAUUUCUAGGCUCUCUAUGCUGUUCCAUGGAUCCAUUUUUCUAUUCUUUUACCAAUAUCAUACUGUAUUGAUUACUUUAGCUUUAUAGUAAGUCUUGAAGUUGGGUAGUAUCAGCACUCCAACUUUGUUCUUCUGCUUCAAUAUUGUGUUGGCUAUUCUGGGUCUUUUGCCUCUCCAUCUAAACUUUAGAAUCUGUGUGUUGUCUUGUUAUAUUUUGUUUAAUACCAGAAAUUUUGAACACUAUAAUGUGGCAACUCUCAAAAUCAGAUAUCCUCUCCCCAAGGUUUGUUGCUGUGGCUAUAGUUUAGUGACUUCCCUUGUUGUGGCUAUAGUUCAGUGACUUUCCUCAGCUAAUUCUCUGAAGUCUGAAUACUUUGCUAUAUAUUACCACUGAAGUCUCCACUUGGUUAGCUUAGCGGUCAGCAAAUGAUUGAACAGGACUGUCCUUAAAUGCCUUGAACCAGUAUGUCUCCCAGCCUUUAUCAAGGGCUCUUUGUGCAUAUUGGGCUAUGGUUUCAAUGUUCCAGGAGGAAGUUGAUAAUUCUGCCUUAGCCUUUAUUUCCUGCUUGUGCAGAUCAACAAUGCCGAUUGGAGGUGAGAAAUUAGGACUUUGUUAUGCCUUUUCUGGGUAUGCAACAGUUCUUCAUAUGUGCUUGGCCUUCUAGAUUCCUAAAAAUAUGUUAGAACUUUUCUAAGUCCCCUAUGGACAUCUCAUUCUUGCAGCUAUCCUUUUCAUUCAUUUUGGUUCACAUCUUGUUUAGCCCAAAUGUUAUCAGCGGUUCAGGCAGCUAUGAUGUUAAAUAAUUGCUGCUGAUUGUUUUUGACAAACACCCUGGGGGGGAAACUGUUCUCAGUGAUGAGCUCAGAGUCAGGUUAAAUGAAGAUAAGCCCUGUGAAUGGGGGCCAUUCAGGCAGUUUCCAGGCAGCUCAGAUAAUGACAGUUCUUUAAUAAUGAAGCUUUUGGGGAGCCAAGCCCAUUCUGCCCUCUCCAGUGGCUGCUAGACUGCCAGUUUUCAUAGGUACCCUGAUUGUGAUGCUGUUGUUUUUCAAAGCUUUUGCAGAGCUGAGGAAAGAAACAUGAGAAUAGGGCAAGGAAGGUCAGAUGCCUCAAAUCUCCCUGUUCCCACGUAGAUUCAACCACUUUUCUUAAAUAGACAGUACUUGGAUGGUUGCAAGCCUUUAUUGCUUUCCAGAGUUCUUAAAAAGUUGAUUUUGACAGUUAUUGCCAAUAUUCUUCUUACUUUUAUAAAGGAACAGAGCAUUGAAGACUUUUAUUCCACCAUCCCCACCGAUGUCACUCACUUGCAGUGUUUUUUAUUCAGCUUUAUUAAAAGUGUAAUUUACAUUCAAGAAAAUUCACCAACUUAAAACCUACGAUUUGUUGAAUUUUGUCAAAUGUAUACAGUUAUGUGACAUUCACCACAAUCAUGAUGUAGGACAUUUCCAUUAUCUCAAAAAGUUCUCUGUUGCUGACAUUUGGCAACCACUGAACUGUUUUCUGUCACUGCAGUUCUACCUUCUCUAAAAUUUUGUAUAAAUGCAAUUAUAUAGCGUGUGCUCUUUGUGUCUGGCUUCUUUUACUUAACAUAAUCCCUCUGAGACUCAUCCAUUUUGUUGCAUGUAUCAGUUGUUAGUGCCUUUGUAUUUCUGAAUAUUUCUUUAUAUGUGUAUACCACAGUUUUUAUUUCCAUUUGUCAGUUAAGGGACCUUUGUGUUAUUUCCACUUUGGGGCUAUUUUCUGAAUAAAUUUGCUGUGAACAUUCAAGUGCAGGUCUUUGUAUGGGUGUACGAUUUAUUUUAUCUUGGAUAUAACUAAGAGUAGAAUUGCUGGGUCAUAUUCUAAGAAUAUGUUUAAUUUAGUAAGAUAUUACCAAAUUGUUUUCCAAGGAGGCUGUAUCCUUUUGGAAGUUCCAGUGGUUCUAUGUCUUUGCUAAAACUUAGUGUUGACAGUGUUUUUAAUUUAGGCAUUCCAGUGUGUCUUAUUAUUUUAAUUUGCAUUUCUCCCAUGACCACUAAGCAUCUUUUCAUGUGCUUAUUUGCCAUUUGAAUAUCUUCUUUUAGAACUGUAUGUUCAGGGGCAUCUGGGUAGCUCAGUUGGUUAAGCAUCUGACUUCGGCUCAGGUCAUGAUCUCACAGUUUGUGAGUUUGCGCCCCUCAUCGGGCUUCACAUCAGGCUCUGUGCUGACAGCUUGGAACCAGGAGCCUGCUUCAGAUUCUGUGUCUCCCUCUCUCUGUCCCUCCCUGCUUGUGCACUCUCUCUCUCUCUC